rnacentral:rRNA from 1 species
UGGGGAAUUUUGGACAAUGGGCGAAAGCCUGAUCCAGCAAUGCCGCGUGUGUGAAGAAGGCCUUCGGGUUGUAAAGCACUUUUGUCCGGAAAGAAAUCCUUGGCUCUAAUACAGUCGGGGGAUGACGGUACCGGAAGAAUAAGCACCGGCUAACUACGUGCCAGCAGCCGCGGUAAUACGUAGGGUGCAAGCGUUAAUCGGAAUUACUGGGCGUAAAGCGUGCGCAGGCGGUUUGCUAAGACCGAUGCGAAAUCCCCGGGCUCAACCUGGGAACUGCAUUGGUGACUGGCAGGCUAGAGUAUGGCAGAGGGGGGUAGAAUUCCACGUGUAGCAGUGAAAUGCGUAGAGAUGUGGAGGAAUACCGAUGGCGAAGGCAGCCCUCUGGGCCAAUACUGACGCUCAUGCACGAAAGCGUGGGGAGCAAACAGGAUUAGAUACCCUGGUAGUCCACGCCCUAAACGAUGUCAACUAGUUGUUGGGGGAUUCAUUUUCCUUAGUAACGUAGCUAA